AGCGCCGCUGGAAGGCGGCCGCUCAUAACGGUCUGGUUGCAGGUUCGAGUCCUGCC
rnacentral:tRNA from 1 species